rnacentral:rRNA from 1 species
UACGUAGGGGGGCAAGCGUUGUCCGGAUUUAUUGGGCGUAAAGAGCGUGUAGGCGGUCAGGUAGGUCGGUUGUGAAAACUGGAGGCUCAACCUUCAGAGGUCGACCGAAACCCCCUGGCUAGAGUCCGGGAGAGGAGAGUGGAAUUCCUGGUGUAGCGGUGAAAUGCGCAGAUAUCAGGAAGAACACCCGUGGCGAAAGCGGCUCUCUGGAACGGUACUGACGCUGAGGAGCGAAAGCAUGGGGGAGCGAACAGG